GACGAACGCUGGCGGCGCGCUUAACACAUGCAAGUCGAACGGAAAGGCCUGCUUUCCCUUGUGGAUUGCGGGUACUCGAGUGGCGAACGGGUGAGUAACACGUGAGUGAUCUGCCCCCAACUUGGGUAUAAGCCUGGGAAACUGGGUCUAAUUCCCGAUAGGACUGCAGGGUGGUGCCUGUGGUGGAAAACGAUUUUCUAGUGGUUGGGGAUGAGCUCGCGGCCUAUCAGCUUGUUGGUGGGGUAAUGGCCUACCAAGGCGGCGACGGGUAGCCGGCCUGAGAGGGUGGACGGCCACAUUGUGACUGAGAUACGGCCCAGACUCCUACGGGAGGCAGCAGUGGGGAAUAUUGCACAAUGGGCGGAAGCCUGAUGCAGCGACGCCGCGUGGGGGAUGACGGCCUUCGGGUUGUAAACUCCUUUCGACCGCGAGGAAGCCACCUGGUUGGAAGGGUGGUGACGGUAGUGGUAGAAGAAGCACCGGCUAACUACGUG
rnacentral:rRNA from 1 species